rnacentral:rRNA from 1 species
UACGUAGGGUGCGAGCGUUAAUCGGAAUUACUGGGCGUAAAGUGUGCGCAGGCGGCUCCGCAAGUCGAGUGUGAAAGCCCCGAGCUUAACUUGGGAAUUGCGCUCGAAACUACGGAGCUGGAGUGUGGCAGAGGAAGGUGGAAUUCCACGUGUAGCGGUGAAAUGCGUAGAGAUGUGGAGGAACACCGAUGGCGAAGGCACUCUACUGGGCUAUUACUGACACUCAGAGACGAAAGCUAGGGGAGCAAAUGGG